UAUUUUUAUUUAUUGCAUUACAUGUUUAGACGAUUUUUGAUGCUUGAAAUUUAUUUGUUUCAAAAUUGUUUUGAGGAAAGAUGUUUGGAAAGUUUAAAAUUUUUUUUAGAAAGGAGAUGAUUGAAAAUCUUUAUUUUGGGGAGAUUAGAAUUUUUCAAAGUGUUUUAACCGGAAUUCAAAUUGAAUUAAAUUCAUAUUAAUUAUCGAUUUUACUCUACUUUUUAUUAUUUUGACGAUAAUUUAUUAUAUGAAUUUUUAAUACAUAUAUUCAUCAAAAUUUUGAAAUUAAAUUUGAUCUCUUGGUGAUUAAUCUAUCUCGGUUGUGUGUGUUGGAUAUGAUAGAUGGAUAUUCGCUAAGAGACUAAAAUUUGUCAAAAUAUUUUCAAUUGUGAGAUUGUCUAAUUUAGGGGGAGUUUGAAAUUAUUUUUUUUAAAAAAAAGGAAAAAGGAAACUCCUAUGUUUAAAAGAUGUGGAAAGAGUUGCAUCCCAAAAGGAGUGUGAAAACUACCACCACAUGUAGGAAAGAGCUACCACCCCGGUCGUCCGGCAAGUGUGUGAAACUACCACAUGAAGAUUGAAUUGAAUAACCGAAAAGGUUGAAAAAAAAAGUGAAUAUUUUAGAAUUUUCGGAGUUAUAAGAUGUUAGUUUGAAAAAGAAGCUCAAAGAGCCACCCCCGGUAUUAUAUUAGUUAAAUCUCUAUUUUGAACGGAUUGCGACAAAUUGGUGUCAAUUUUGUCGAAUUU
rnacentral:lncRNA from 1 species